UACAGAGACUGCGAGCGUUAUUCGGAUUCACUGGGCGUAAAGGGUGCGCAGGCGGCCGUGUGUGUGAGGCGUGAAAGCCCGGGGCUUAACCCCGGAAUUGCACCUCAAACUACACGGCUAGAGCAUUGGAGAGGGUAGCGGAAUUCACGGUGUAGCAGUGAAAUGCGUAGAUAUCGUGAGGAACACCAGAGGCGAAGGCGGCUACCUGGACAAUUGCUGACGCUCAGGCACGAAAGCGUGGGGAGCAAACGGG
rnacentral:rRNA from 1 species